GGCAACCCUGACGGAGCAACGCCGCGUGGGGGAGGAAUGUCUGUGGAUUGUAAUCCCCUUUUCUCAGGGAAGAAGUUCUGACGGUACCUGAGGAAUCAGCAUCGGCUAACUCCGUGCCAGCAGCCGCGGUAAGACGGAGGAUGCAAGCGUUAUCCGGAAUUAUUGGGCGUAAAGCGUCCGUAGGCGGUUUAUCAAGUCUGCCGUUAAAGACUGCAGCUUAACUGUGGGCGAGCGGUGGAAACUGAUGAACUAGAGUACGGUAGGGGUAGAGGGAAUUCCCAGUGUAGCGGUGAAAUGCGUAGAUAUUGGGAAGAACACCAGUGGCGAAGGCGCUCUACUGGGCCGUAACUGACGCUGAGGGACGAAAGCUAGGGGAGCG
rnacentral:rRNA from 1 species